AUGUUCUUCUUAGGAUCUGGACGAGCAAGAGCUAGAAUCAUGGGCUUGCGAGGGUUGGAGAAGAAUCGCAUUAUAUCAGCCCAAAUAGGUGGAUCUGUUGAACCUGAACCAUCUUCAUUAGCUUCUUCACCAUCCUGAUCAACAUCAUGAGGCACUAUAUGGCUAAACUCCAUGCCAGGAGGAACUG
rnacentral:sRNA from 1 species